rnacentral:rRNA from 1 species
UACAGAGGGUGCAAGCGUUAAUCGGAAUUACUGGGCGUAAAGCGUGCGUAGUCGGUUAUCUAAGUCGGGUGUGAAAUCCCCGGGCUCAACCUGGGAAUUGCAUUCGAUACUGGAUAGCUAGAGUUCGGCAGAGGGAAGCGGAAUUUCGGGUGUAGCGGUGAAAUGCGUAGAUAUCUGGAGGAACACCGGUGGCGAAGGCGGCGUUCUGGACUGUUUCUGACACUGAAUAACGAAAGCCAGGGGAGCAAACGGG